AGUGAACGCUGGCGGUAGGCCUAACACAUGCAAGUCGAACGGCAGCACAGUAAGAGCUUGCUCUUACGGGUGGCGAGUGGCGGACGGGUGAGGAAUACAUCGGAAUCUACUUUUUCGUGGGGGAUAACGUAGGGAAACUUACGCUAAUACCGCAUACGACCUACGGGUGAAAGCAGGGGAUCUUCGGACCUUGCGCGAUUGAAUGAGCCGAUGUCGGAUUAGCUAGUUGGCGGGGUAAAGGCCCACCAAGGCGACGAUCCGUAGCUGGUCUGAGAGGAUGAUCAGCAACAGUGGAACUGAGACAAGGGGCGGACAAAUACUGAAGGCACCAGUGGGGGAUGUUGGAGAAUGCGCGCGAGUCUGAUCCAGCUAUACAGGGAAAAGAAAGAAGGCAUUCGAGUACUAAAGCCUUAUUGUUGUAAAAGAAAAGCAACAGGUGAAUACCCCCGUGUCAGAACGGUACCUAAUAAAUAAACACCGGAUAGCUUCAUU
rnacentral:rRNA from 1 species